UUUUCAUAAGAAAAUUUAUUGAUUAAGCUAAUCUCAUUUUUGCUCUUUUAUGAGAGAGAUUGUGAGGCAAGAGAAGAAAAGUGUUCGACAUGCGAGAAAAUGCAAAAGAUUGGGAAAAAAGAGUACUGAAAGUCCAGCUUUGGAGGUGAGAUUGAGAUAAAAGGUGUACUCUUCAGCAUUCAUUAAAAUUUUUUUUUGGGAUUAAGAUGUCUGACUCCUCAAUCAGUUUUGGUUGCAUUAGUCUCAUAGUCUUUCUCAUCGGGAUAUUUUGUUCUAGAUUGUAAUAUCUUAUUUUUCAAUCAAUUUUAAUGCACUAAUUGUGUCCUUUUCUAUUAUUCAAUUGAGUGGAUAUUCAGCUUA